UACGGGGGGAGCAAGCGUUGUUCGGAUUUACUGGGCGUAAAGGGCGCGUAGGCGGCGUAACAAGUCACUUGUGAAAUCUCCCGGGCUUAACUCGGAGCGGUCAAGUGAUACUGUUGUGCUAGAGUGCGGAAGGGGCUACUGGAAUUCUCGGUGUAGCGGUGAAAUGCGUAGAUAUCGAGAGGAACACCUGCGGCGAAGGCGGGUAGCUGGGCCGACACUGACGCUGAAGCGCGAAAGCUAGGGGAGCGAACGGG
rnacentral:rRNA from 1 species